UUUCUAUGUAAAAUAUGUGAAAUAGUUUAUUGAUAUAUUGGAGUCUUGUGUCUUCAAGCUUUCCUGGGUCAUGCUUUUUUUUUUAUUCCCAGAAAACUACUUUCUGGAGAAGCUUUUCAUGCAGAUUGCUGUUUCCAUUUGUGUAGACUCAGAAUAAGUCUCUCUUUAUCAAGUUUCUUCUAUUUCUUGUUGAAUGAUUCGAUCGAGCACAUUGAAUAACUAACCUCUGCUUCUAUGAUCAGGCGUCAAGCAUCUGAUUCAUAUAAUUAGUUAGUCACAUCUUUGUAUUUCCUUGAAGGUUUUGGCAUAGCAUAAUUAGUUAGUCACGCUUCCAUUCAUUUUUCUUAUGAUAUUCUGAUAUAUUUAUUUUAAGAUUUUUACCUCUCACUUAAGUCUGUUCAGGUUUUUUUACCAAUAGACAUCAUAGAAUUGGU
rnacentral:lncRNA from 1 species